rnacentral:rRNA from 1 species
UACGUAGGGGGCGAGCGUUGUCCGGAAUUAUUGGGCGUAAAGGGCGCGUAGGCGGUGACGCAAGUCAGGUGGUAAAGGCACGGGCUCAACCGGUGUUGGACGCUUGAUACUGCGUUGCUAGAGUGCAGGAGAGGGGAGUGGAAUUCCAGGUGUAGCGGUGAAAUGCGUAGAUAUCUGGAAGAACACCAGUGGCGAAGGCGGCUCUCUGGACUGUAACUGACGCUGAUGCGCGAAAGCUGGGGGAGCAAACAGG